rfam:Schistosoma rodhaini strain Burundi genome assembly, scaffold: SROB_scaffold0002943
AUCCAGUUGACGAGUCCCAAAUAGGACGAAACGCGUGUCGUGAAU